rnacentral:rRNA from 1 species
AUUGAACGCUGGCGGCAUGCCUUACACAUGCAAGUCGAACGGCAGCACGGGAGCAAUCCUGGUGGCGAGUGGCGAACGGGUGAGUAAUAUAUCGGAACGUGCCCAGUCGUGGGGGAUAACGUAGCGAAAGCUACGCUAAUACCGCAUACGAUCUACGGAUGAAAGCGGGGGAUCGCAAGACCUCGCGCGAUUGGAGCGGCCGAUAUCAGAUUAGGUAGUUGGUGAGGUAAAGGCUCACCAAGCCGACGAUCUGUAGCUGGUCUGAGAGGACGACCAGCCACACUGGGACUGAGACACGGCCCAGACUCCUACGGGAGGCAGCAGUGGGGAAUUUUGGACAAUGGGCGCAAGCCUGAUCCAGCCAUGCCGCGUGCAGGAUGACGGUCCUAUGGAUUGUAAACUGCUUUUGUACAGGAAGAAACACUACUUCGUGAAGUAGCUUGACGGUACUGUAAGAAUAAGGAUCGGCUAACUCCGUG